rnacentral:rRNA from 1 species
UACGUAGGGUGCGAGCGUUAAUCGGAAUUACUGGGCGUAAAGCGUGCGCAGGCGGUUGUGCAAGACAGAUGUGAAAUCCCCGGGCUUAACCUGGGAACUGCAUUUGUGACUGCACGGCUAGAGUGUGUCAGAGGGGGGUAGAAUUCCACGUGUAGCAGUGAAAUGCGUAGAUAUGUGGAGGAAUACCGAUGGCGAAGGCAGCCCCCUGGGAUAACACUACGCUCAUGCACGAAAGCGUGGGGAGCAAACAGG